ensembl:lncRNA
UUUAAAUUUGCGAUGGUUAAUGUUGACACUGUCCUCUAUGAGUGUGCCAAAUUUCACAACUUUCCCGCAGUCGGUUCUAUGGGCUGCCAUAGACUUGCGGCGGAAGCGGAAGAAUAAUAAUAAUAAUAAUAAUAAUAAUAAUAAUAAUAAGAAUCCUAACGGAUACAAUAGGUGCCUAAACACCUUCGGUGCUUGGCCCCUAAAUAUAGCUGCAAGCAGCAAUUACGGGGCCAAGCACUCCAGCGGCAAAUUGAGGAUCUAAACAUGGCAUGGAGCAUCAGACCAAAUGCAACAAUGAGCAAUUACAGCAAUUUUAGGAUGAUUGUAAUUGAAAUGGCGGAAAAAUCAUAAAUACAAGCACUAGUAUUAUGAUUAAAUGGUUUAUCACUUUUGACCAACAGGUGGCGCUGUAAUCAAAUCAUUUUGGUGUGUUCUGUGUGAGGUGACAAUGGCACACACAAAGUUUGGUGUCAGUAUGCCAAAGCAUUGCAGAGAUACAGGCUGAAGUGUCAUUUUGGCAUCAUGCCUGAAAUUUGUCGCUGUGGUAUGCGUAAACGGUUUUGUCUAUCGAUUCAAAAUCCAUAACAUUUUGUCAACACAGUCUGAAGAUCAUCUGAUUCAAUUUUGGUGAAAAUCGG